ensembl:lncRNA
UACACACUCUGCUUUAUGUACUACGCACACUUUAACUCACCAAAUCCUCGCAACAGUGCUGUGCGGGUAGUGCUAUUAUUGUCUUUUUUUAAAAGAUGGUACAUAGAAGUUAGAUUAUUGAACAAGUUACACACCUCAUUAAGUGUCAGGGCUGGGAUUCUAACUGAGACCAAGGGCUCCAGAGGUGUGCGAGAAUGAAGCAAGAGAGCUGCAAUCACUUCCAAAGAUAACCAUGUUGACAGAGGGCUUUCCAUUCCAUAUGCUUAGUCCUUGCAAGAUAUGAAGAGUCUUCAUCUUUCAGAUGAGGCGCCUGAGUAUCAGGCGAGUGAUAUAACUUGGAAAAACUCACGUACCUGGUAGGUUGGCAGAGGUGAGAUUCAAGUUUGGGUCUGUCUGGUUUGCAGCUGGUUAUCUUUCCACCACUCCACUGUUGGCCAAUUUAGAGGAAGGCUGGACUCCCUUAGCCUUUCUAGCUUCCAUGAUGUCUGGUUCCUGGGAGAUUUCUAGAGCUAUGAGCAUUUACUCCCACUUAUGAGCAAGGCAAGAGUUCUCACGAGUUGAGGUCUAAUCAUGGAAGGCUAAAGGGAGGAUGAGAUUGUUAAGGCUUGGUUGGAGGCAAUACCCUGGUUCAUAACCAAGUGUUAUGGUCGCCCUGCCAUUAGUAAGACCAGCUUCCAACUACAAUGAAUGGAUUGGGGAAAGGUUAUUUUGUAUCUGAGGCUAUUUCAUUUUUAAAUCCACAGGUGUCAAGUAGUGUUUUUGGAAACUGUAGAGAUCAAAUUUUAAAAAUGUCAACUGGGAAGAUCACAACUAGAAAGGCCAUUGUAAUAAACACUGCCUGUAAGUCAUCACCCACUAAUUGAGUCAUCUGUGAAGUUAAUGCGGAUUUUUGCAUAUCAGGGUGCCCAACCCUUCCAGGCAGAAGGAUUAUCACCUGAAGUGACCUGGGUUGGAGGCACCAAAGGGCAUUCUUGGAGUAAGUGGCAUUUUGGAACCUCUGAGGGUUAAAGUUGGCAAAGCUACAUUUGUGGGAAACCCCAGGGUCUACGUUAGUUGCACACUGGACCAAAACAGGGGCAAGAAGCAAGGGAGGGCAGCACCAAGAGGACCAAGGCACUUGUCACUUUCUCUUUCAGGAUUAGCUUGAUCUGUGCAUAGCAGAAAACUCCAAGUAACAAAUGAGAAUUACAGGAGUCAUGGAAAUAACAGAGAGAAAGCAAGAAGCAUGAUGGUUUGUUUCUCUCUCAUAUAGUAGUCCUUAUGCAGCCUGUUCAGGGUUAGUGUGGCCAAUCUGUUCCAAAAUGGUCUUGAGGAUUAUUUUAGUUCAAAUAAAUGCUGGCUACAGUGACAAAUCUGCAAAUGUCAACAUCUUAACCCAAUGAAGAUGGUUCCCUCUGGUUAUUCAAGAGUCCAAAGUGGGGGCCAGGCUUGGUGGUGCACACCUGUAAUCCCAGUAUUUUGGGAGGCUGAGGCAGACAGAUCGCUUGAGGCCAGAAGUUUGAGACCAGCCUGGCCAACAUGGUGAAAUCCUGUCACUACUAAAAAUACAAAAAUUAGCCAGGCAUGGUGAUGUGUGCCUAUAGUCCCAGCUACUUGGGAGGCAGAGGUGAAAGAAUCGUUUGAACCCGGGAGGCAAAGGUUGCAGUGAGCCUAGAUCGCGCCACUGCACUCCAGCUUGGGUAACAGAGGGAGAUUCAGUCUCAAAAACAAGGCAAAACAAAACAAACAAAAAUCCAAUGCAGAGCUGGGCAUGGUGGCUCACACCUAUAAUCCCAGCACUUUGGGAGGCCAAGGUAGGCAGAUCGCUUGAGCCCAGGAGUUUAAGACCAGUCUGAGGAAUGUGGAGAAACCCCAUCUGUACAAAAAAUACCAAAACUAGCUGGGUGUGGUGGCAUGCACCUGUGGUCCAAGUUACUCGGGAGGCUGAGGUGGGAGGAUCAAUUGAGCCUGGGAGGUUGACACUGCAAUGAGUCGUAAUCAUGCCACUGCACUCCAGCCUGAGUGACAGAAUAGGACAGGACCCUGUCUCAAAAAAAAAGAAAAAAAAAAA